rnacentral:rRNA from 1 species
CCUACGGGCGGCAGCAGUGAGGAAUAUUGGUCAAUGGGCGUAAGCCUGAACCAGCCAAGUCGCGUGAGGGAUGAAGGUUCUAUGGAUUGUAAACUUCUUUUAUAAGGGAAUAAAGUGUGGGACGUGUCCUAUUUUGUAUGUCCCUUAUGAAUAAGGAUCGGCUAACUCCGUGCCAGCAGCCGCGGUAAUACGGAGGAUCCGAGCGUUAUCCGGAUUUAUUGGGUUUAAAGGGUGCGUAGGUGGCCUUUUAAGUCAGUGGUGAAAGUCUGUGGCUCAACCAUAGAAUUGCCGUUGAUACUGGGAGUCUUGAGUACGUUUGAGGUAGGCGGAAUGCGUGGUGUAGCGGUGAAAUGCUUAGAUAUCACGCAGAACCCCGAUUGCGAAGGCAGCCUACCAAGCUGUGACUGACGCUGAUGCACGAAAGUGUGGGGAUCAAACAGGAUUAGAUACCCUUGUAGUC